CCAACAGCCCCACCGAGCCCGGCUCCACACUGAGCCCUGCAGGGACAGAGCGGGGCACAGAUGCGGGCAGGUCCUGCAGGCCGGCACUGUGCAGCAUCCUCAGCUCCGCACGCAGCGCUCGAAGGGCGCCCACGCAGUGCAGCCGCAUCCUGCAGCGCUGCCCACCCCGCAGAUGGGAGCUGCACACUGCAGAGCUGCGGCAGCACUGAGAGUGUUUCUGGGGUUCAGGCCCCAAAGCUGCAGUGGUUCUUACCAUUGUCUGUCUCCACGUAGAGCCGCAGGCCCAGGUUGUGCUUGCGUUCCACCAGCCAGUGGCUGCUGGCGGCUGUGACGUCGAACACCAGCCAGCCCUCGGUGCCGGCACGCAGCUGCUGGGCGUCCAGCAGGAACAGGUUGGACUCCCUGCAGAUGGGCACAGUGGCCCUGGUGCUGCGAGGUCAGGACAGCGCCUGUGGCUGUGUGAAGGUGGCACCCUGGCAGCUGCCCUGGGAAAAGCUCAGCUCCCUCCUAGCACUGUGUGUGUCACUGCCUGGGGACGCUGUGGAGCAGCAUUUGGCACGGGGUGGGAAAGAUGCGGAACUCGGCGGCCGUCACCGACUCCCCUGCGGGCACCUGAGCCAGGUCGAAGCGGAACUCCUUCCAGUAGGGCUUUGGGGAGGAGGUGUCCCGGUCCUGCUCCACUGCGGGGCACGGGGGUCAGGAACCGCCCCCAGGGCUGACCCCGCUCCCCCCACGUGGGAAGAAGCCCCGCCGUCCCCGUGCCCUGAGCCCGGCGCCUGCCUGCCCUGUGCUGACGGCACACGGGACGGAGGGAGCGAGGCGAGGGCAGGCAGGCGCCCGGUCAGUGCUAUGCGCCAACAAUCCCUUUCCUUCCAUUCUAAGUCUGCUUUCUACAGAAAUCGGUGCCUUUUGGUAAAGGAAGCUUCUUUUUAAACCCAUAAAGGAAAGCACCGAGUGCUGCUUUGCGGCAGGGCGUCCCACCGGCUCACUAAUGUGUAAUUAUUUUCUUCAAAUUGUUCUUUAAAAGUAUUCCAGCCUGCCGGGGCUGAACAUAAUUAAGAUGAUUAACGCUCUUCCUGCUUUAAACAUAAAUGAAAUGUCACAAAUCUCAGCUUCUGCCUACUUUAAAAGACCCAAACACACAAAAUAGUGAAUAAAUAAUCAAACACCCUCAGAUGCCAUUUUAAGCCAUUCCCAGUGGGGCACAAUCCUGAUUUCACACAGCCCAGUGUUUUCCUGCCCAUCUGCACACAUGCAGCUCGGCGCACC